CCACAACCCACAACAUUAACGACGUCCAUGCUGGUUUUAAGUCAGAAGCUUCCAGAAGCCUCUAGAAACCCUUCCCGCGACAAUGAAUCACUGCGUUAUUUUUUUGUGGUCACUCAGCUCUGUCAAGAACAAUGUCAGCGUGUGAACUGGCUGAAGUUUCUCUGAAAACAGGGACUUUGCUGCAUUACAUUUCUUUAAAUCUUGUAUUGUGGAGAAACCAUAGAUGCCAUAUUACAACUUCCCAUGACACGCAACGCAGGUGACAAAUAUAGCAUGUGAAUAAGGCAGUGUUCUUCUCUCUAAUUGGCUCAUAAUAAUCUCUUUGACUGAUAAAAGGCGUCUUUGAAACAGAGAGUUACUGUUAGCUUUCAGGUCAAACAACAGUUGAAGCCAGAGCGAAAACGUACAAGGUUUGUGUGUUUUUACACGAUUCAAGGUGCAAAAUGAAGCUUCUUCUCUUCGCAGCAUUUGCAGCAACCCUCAGCUAUGUGAGUAGUCAAUCUAUCCAUCCAUCUAUCCAUCUAUCUAUGUAUAUAUCAUACUAAUGUGUAUAUCUUGUCUAAAUUUAUUUCAGGUCAACGCAGGCAAGGUAAGAUACAGUCAGACUAUGGAUGCAUACAUACUUUGCACAAUAAUCGAAAUUAGGCCACAGGCAAUAAGUCUUUUUCCUGCUCCAUGCAGACUGCAAGGCUGCUGGCAGCUAUGAAUGCAGGGAUGUUGAAUGGGGGACUCUUAAAUGGAGGACUCUUAAAUGGAGCAAACCCCGGGAUGCUGGUUGGUGGUCUGAAUCCACCCAUUGUAGCUGGCGGUGGAGCAGGCGUUAUUGGGCAGCCCCAGUUUGCUCAGUUUGUUCCUCGAGUUCCUGCUUUUGUCGUUCCAGCUCAGGUCGGCAAUGUGUACCCUUUCCCUGCUGUCCCUGCAGUCAAUGCGUACCAGGUUCCUUUCAUGGGAGUACCCCAAAUGGCACCAAUGAAUGCUCCUCAGCAACCUGCAAUGGUAAUCAACCUUUCCCUCCAGUGUAUCAGUGGUUAUUGUUUGCAGAAAUGUUACAUUUGCUGUUUUUGUUUAGGGGAACCCUGCCGGUGCUGCUCCACAGCAGCUUCCAGUUCAGCCUGAUCCACUUGGAAGAUUCAGGCGCCAGAUUAUGAAAGCCGAAAACACAGUGAAGAGUACUUUGGAUACUCAGGUGAGACUGCGUAAAAUAAAAAAUAAAAGCAAUUUUAAAAAAAUUACUAACAGUUUGUAAACAUCAUGUUCUGCUAGAAAAAUGAUUUUUUUUGUCUCUUAUUAAUUCCUCAGAUUCCUUCUUCUGCUCCUUCUGCAUCACCAACAGCAGUGCCCUGCAACAAGGAUAAUUAAGCUGACACCAUUACUGUAACAUUAGCUUUGAAUUGAAUCUACAAGAAAUAUUGAAUAUUAUAACAUUAAAAGUUAACUCCUAUGAUUAUUCAUAAAUUGAUGAAUUUUGUUACAGUGUGUUUGCUUUCUAAUAAAAGUAAUCAUACUCUAAAUAAAAUCUGUCUUGUACGAGUUUUACAGCAUACACCAUCAGUCAUACAGUGGAUCUGUGCUGCCAUCUAAAGGACAUAUAUGAUAAUAGUUUCAUAAAACUACAACUCAUGCUAGAUAGUUAAGAGGACAUCCAUAAAAUGUCAUCAAAAAUAAAAUAAAAAAGAUCAAAAUAACAAAAAUGACUACCAACCCACUUGCCACUAAUUCCAUUGAUAAAGAUAAUACAGAUACUGAUGUCAAGGAGAAUUAGUGAACACACAUAUUACAGCAAACAUGAUGCAGUUCUGAAGUUCUUUCAAACAGCUCCUCCUACAGCCUUUCAGCAUAUACAGACAUACAGAGGC
ensembl:lncRNA